rnacentral:rRNA from 1 species
UACGAAGGGUGCAAGCGUUACUCGGAAUUACUGGGCGUAAAGCGUGCGUAGGUGGUUCGUUAAGUCUGAUGUGAAAGCCCUGGGCUCAACCUGGGAAUGGCAUUGGAUACUGGCGGACUGGAGUGCGGUAGAGGAUGGCGGAAUUCCCGGUGUAGCGGUGAAAUGCGCAGAUAUCGGGAGGAACACCAAUGGCGAAGGCAGCUCGCUGGGACGGUACUGACGCUGAGGCGCGAAAGCGUGGGGAGCAAACAGG